rnacentral:SRP_RNA from 1 species
GCCGGGUGUGGUGGUGCAUGCCUGUAAUCCCACCUACUCAGGAGGCUGAGGCAGGAGAAUCACUUGAACCCAGGAGGUGGAGUUUGCAGUGUGCGGAGAUGGUGCCACUGCACUCCAGCCUGGGCAACAGAGUGAGACUCCGUCUCAA